rnacentral:rRNA from 1 species
AACGAACGCUGGCGGCAUGCCUAACACAUGCAAGUCGAACGAGACCUUCGUGUCUAGUGGCGCACGGGUACGUAACGCCGAGGAACCGGCUCUUAGGUGCGGAGUAACUCUCCUAGAGUGGUGCUAAUACCGGAUAAUGUCGCCGGACCAAAGGUUUAUCGCUUUUGGAUGGGCCCGCGUUGAAUUAGCUGGUUGGUAGGGUAAAAGAACCCCCAGGCGUCGAUAUAUAGCUUGUCUGAGAGGAUGGUCAGACACACCGGGACUGAGACACGGCCCAGACUCCUACGGGAGGCAGCAGUGGGGAACAUUGCAACACGGGCGAAAGCCUGAUCCAGCUCUGCCGCGUGAGUGCUGAAGUCAUUAGAGUUGUAAAGCUCUUUUACCCGGGAUGAUAAUGACAGUACCGAGAGAAUAAGCUCCGGCUAACUCCGUG